rnacentral:rRNA from 1 species
GGUUAAGUUAGAAAGGGCGCACGGCGGAUGCCUUGGCACUAGGAGCCUAUGAAGGACGGCACUAACACCGAUAUGCUUCGGGGAGCUGUAAGUAAGCUUUGAUCCGAAGAUUUCCGAAUGGGGAAACCCACUGCCCGUAAUGGGGCAGUACGUUCACGUGAAUACAUAGCGUGAACGAGGCAGACCCGGAGAACUGAAACAUCUAAGUAUCCGGAGGAAGAGAAAGAAAAAUCGAUUCCCUGAGUAGCGGCGAGCGAAACGGGAAAAGCCCAAACCAGGAAGCUUGCUUCCUGGGGUUGUAGGACACUCUAUACGGAGUUACAAAGGGAUGGAUUAGACGAAGCGACCUGGAAAGGUCCGCCAUAGCGGGUAAAAGCCCCGUAGUCGAAAGUCCAUCCUCUCCAGAGUGGAUCCUGAGUACGGCGGAACACGUGAAAUUCCGUCGGAAUCCGGGAGGACCAUCUCCCAAGGCUAAAUACUCCCUAGUGACCGAUAGUGAACCAGUACCGUGAGGGAAAGGUGAAAAGCACCCCGGAAGGGGAGUGAAAGAGAACCUGAAACCGUGUGCCUACAAGUUGUCAGAGCCCGUUAAUGGGUGAUGGCGUGCCUUUUGUAGAAUGAACCGGCGAGUUACGAUUCCAUGCAAGGUUAAGCAG